GAUGAACGCUGGCGGCGUGCCUAAUACAUGCAAGUCGAGCGAACAGACGAGGAGCUUGCUCCUCUGACGUUAGAGGCGGACGGGUGAGUAACACGUGGAUAACCUACCUAUAAGACUGGGAUAACUUCGGGAAACCGGAGAUAAUACCGGAUAAUAUAUUGAACGGCAGGGGUCAGUAGGGAAAGACGGUUUUGCUGUCACUUAUAGCUGGAUCCGCGCCGCAUGAGCUAGUUGGUAAGGUAACGGCUUACCAAGGGAACGAUGCGUAGCCGACCUGAGAGGGUGAUCGGCCGCACUGGAACUGGAACACGGACCAUGCGCCUACGGGAGGCAGCAGUAGGGUACGUGACGCAAUGGGCGGAAGCCUUGCGGAAUGGGGGCGAGUCAGUGACGGAGGCCUUCGGUUCGUAAAACUCGCUUUCUAGGUAAGAACCAAUUUGUAAGGUACUAUGGACUUCUUGACGGUAACUAGUCAGAAAGCCACGGCUAACUACGUG
rnacentral:rRNA from 1 species